rnacentral:ncRNA from 2 species
UUAAUCAAAAGGGAUGGUACUCCCUAUAACCGCCAGAAAUGGCUGAUGGUGCCUGUUAUGUA